rnacentral:rRNA from 1 species
UGGAAUGACUUCCACAAUGGACGCAAGUCUGAUGGAGCAACGCCGCGUGAGUGAAGAAGGUUUUCGGACCGUAAAGCUCUGUUGUUGGUGAAGAAGGAUAGAAGGUAGUAACUGGCCUUUAUUUGACGGUAAUCAACCAGAAAGUCACGGCUAACUACGUGCCAGCAGCCGCGGUAAUACGUAGGUGGCAAGCGUUGUCCGGAUUUAUUGGGCGUAAAGCGAGCGCAGGCGGAAGAAUAAGUCUGAUGUGAAAGCCCUCGGCUUAACCGAGGAAUUGCAUCGGAAACUGUUUUCUUGAGUGCAGAAGAGGAGAGUAGAACUCCAUGUGUAGCGGUGGAAUGCGUAGAUAUAUGGAAGAAUACCAGUGGCGAAGGCGGCUCUCUGGUCUGCAACUGACGCUGAGGCUCGAAAGCAUGGUAGCGAACAGGAUUAGAUACCCUGGUAGUCCAUGCCGUAAACGAUGAGUGCUAAGUGU